rnacentral:rRNA from 1 species
UACGUAGGGUGCAAGCGUUGUCCGGAAUUAUUGGGCGUAAAGAGCUCGUAGGCGGUUUGUCGCGUCGGCUGUGAAAACUCGGGGGCUCAACCCCGAGCCUGCAGUCGAUACGGGCAGACUAGAGUGCGGUAGGGGAGACUGGAAUUCCUGGUGUAGCGGUGAAAUGCGCAGAUAUCAGGAGGAACACCGGUGGCGAAGGCGGGUCUCUGGGCCGAAAUUGACGCUGAGGAGCGAAAGCGUGGGGAGCAAACAGG